AGAGUUUGAUCCUGGCUCAGGACGAACGCUGGCGGCGUGCCUAAUACAUGCAAGUCGAGCGAAUGGAGGAGAGCUUGCUCUCCAAAGUUAGCGGCGGACGGGUGAGUAACACGUGGGCAACCUGCCUAUAAGACUGGGAUAACUCCGGGAAACCGGGGCUAAUACCGGAUAGUUCUUUUCUCCACAUGGAGAGAAGGGGA
rnacentral:rRNA from 1 species